rnacentral:rRNA from 1 species
UUGUUGGUGAGGUAAUGGCUCACCAAGGCGACGAUCAGUAACGGGUCUGAGAGGAUGAUCCGUCACACUGGAACUGAGACACGGUCCAGACUCCUACGGGAGGCAGCAGUGGGGAAUUUUGGACAAUGGGGGAAACCCUGAUCCAGCCAUUCCGCGUGAGUGAAGAAGGCCUUCGGGUUGUAAAGCUCUUUCAGCUGGAACGAAACGGUACGCUCUAACAUAGCGUGCUAAUGACGGUACCAGCAGAAGAAGCACCGGCUAACUACGUGCCAGCAGCCGCGGUAAUACGUAGGGUGCGAGCGUUAAUCGGAAUUACUGGGCGUAAAGCGUGCGCAGGCGGAUUGUUAAGCAAGAUGUGAAAUCCCCGGGCUUAACCUGGGAAUGGCAUUUUGAACUGGCAGUCUAGAGUGUGUCAGAGGGGGGUGGAAUUCCACGUGUAGCAGUGAAAUGCGUAGAUAUGUGGAGGAACACCAAUGGCGAAGGCAGCCCCCUGGGAUAACACUGACGCUCAUGUACGAAAGCGUGGGUAGCAAACAGGAUUAGAUACCCUGGUAGUCCACGCCCUAAACGAUGUCAACUGGUUGUUGGGGGAGUGAAAUCCCUUAGUAACGAAGCUAACGCGUGAAGUUGACCGCCUGGGGAGUACGGUCGCAAGAUUAAAACUCAAAGGAAUUGACGGGGACCCGCACAAGCGGUGGAUGAUGUGGAUUAAUUCGAUGCAACGCGAAAAACCUUACCUACCCUUGACAUGUCCAGAAUCCUGCAGAGAUGUGGGAGUGCCCGAAAGGGAAUUGGAACACAGGUGCUGCAUGGCUGUCGUCAGCUCGUGUCGUGAGAUGUUGGGUUAAGUCCCGCAACGAGCGCAACCCUUAUCAUUAGUUGCUACGCAAGGGCACUCUAAUGAGACUGCCGG